AACGAACGCUGGCGGCGUGGCUAAGACAUGCAAGUCGAACGGAUUAGCUAAUUGAGUAAUCGAGAAGCUAAUUAGUGGCGAAAGGUGAGUAACGGAUAGGUAACGUACCCCGCGUUUCGGGAUAGCGUCGUUCACCUUCGGGUGAGCUACCGAAAGGGGCGGUAAUACCGAAUAACAUCACUUGUCGAUAGGCAGGUGGUCAAAGAUUUAUCGACGCACGAGCGGCCUAUCUCCUAUCAGCUUGUUGGUGAGGUAAUGGCUCACCAAGGCUCCGACGGGUAGCGGGACUGAGAGGUUGGCCCGCCACAUCGGGACUGAGACACUGCCCGGACCUCCACGGAGGGCUGCAGUAACGAAUAUUGGGCAAUGGGCGAAAGCCUGACCCAGCGACGCCGCGUGCGGGAGGAAGUCUUUCGGGAUGUAAACCGCUGUCAGGGGUAAGAAAGUACGGUUCGCCGU
rnacentral:rRNA from 1 species